rnacentral:hammerhead_ribozyme from 1 species
UUUAAGCUGAUGAGUCCCAUAUAGGACGAAGUGCGCAUCCUGGAU